UACGUUAAACCGUUUAAGGGGAAACGAAUGGAGUUAGCAAUUCGCCCUGCCAGAUUCAGCAGCUCGCGCGCCGCGACACGUCAACGUUCUCGAUCCGAAUGGACGAAACCUUAUGCGGGUGCGGCGUGCGGUCUGCGCACUUCUGGCGAGCGAGCGUCAGCGUCGGUUGCCGACGUGCGACAAGGACGCGGGGAAGGUGGACAGGUCCUUGCGGCCUGUUGUUAUAGCCCCGCGCUCGCAUGGCUCGACGGCGACCGAGGCUUCCGGCGACGCGUGCCUGGCUGGCGACUCGAACGAUCGGUCCGRCAUGUCGACCGUGGCGGACGGCACGCCUGUGCGCUCGAACUGCUGCCGGCCGAU
rnacentral:rRNA from 1 species